GGGGUUGUGGUCUAGCUUGGUAUGAUACGCGCCCGGGGCGCGCGUGGUCGGGGGUUCGAAUCCUCCCAACCCCA
rnacentral:tRNA from 1 species